CGAUGUCAAGUCGACUUACAUAGUUUACAUUUUAGGUCAAAAGAACAUAAAAAGGCUCUUUGGCAGAUUCCAGAAUUAUCAAAUAAUUCUGAGGGUCAAGGUACGUAUGCCAAAGUUUUAUUUCAUUCACUUUAUGAAUGUAGAUGGGCAAUAACUGGAAGAUACAUGUACAUGAAAUGAUCAGAUGAGUCAGUAAACCUGGACUAGACAAAUAGUGAAAUAAAAUGUUACUGCUAUAAACAUAAAAUUACAUUUUAAACGGUUUUGCUUGUAAUAUGCGCAAUUCCGUCUGUCUUCGUGUCACAAUUUGUAGCAAGUAACAGCAGAUUUAUUAUUAAAAUACGGUUUAAAUUUUGUUUUCUAUCAUUAAACUCCUUCAGACCAUAUUUUGCGGUCUUUUGGUUCUGCGGGGAAGAAUUUUGUACAUAAUUCUCUCGAAGUCUUGGCAAAACAAAAGUUCCCCAUUUCUUUUCUCGACCGUGGUCCGUUACAAUGGUCCCUGGUUGAGUGAGAUUUCUGGAUUUUGUAAUAGACCAUGGUUGGGUGUAUACUAUAUAUUAAGUAUUAUACUAUAUAGCAAGUGUGCAUGCUUUUAUUACUUUAAACUUAUGGUAGCCUUGUUUGUAGGUUUCAGUUCCCUAAGAGCGCGAUUCGACGUUACAGAAGGACCGAGUGUAGCUCAAACGAUUGCUGUGCAAUUUCAGUGUAAUGGCUCUACGCUCUCGAAAAUUGGUUUUCAACUUAAUACGGACAUGUAUAAACUGUCGUUAGUGAAGAAAAAAAUUGUAACGGGUAUGUUAACUAUAGUUCAACCACUUGCCUUUGAGGGAACGCCGUUUUUCUAUCAACACAUUUCAUUAGAUAGAUAGAUGUGAAUGAUCUCGUUCCUUAUAAAAACUCCCAAAGCAAGGAAAGUGCACGAUAUUUUUAUCAUGUCAUUUUUCUGUCAGAUAUUUUUUGUAACUGUCCUUUUGCAGGAUGUUUUUUAUACACCGUAGAAUCCCGAUUCCCCCCUUCUACACCCCUGUGUACACAAAUUUAGUUGCCACCCGAAAAUAGUGACACUCCGUAAGUAGCAGCUACCCGAAAGUAGUAGCUUCCAACAGCGGAUAUAACCAAAAAGUACGGGGGCCCGCAGGUAAGGUAUUCCACAAAAAAUUAAUACUUUUGUCUUUUACCCUUUGGUUUUAGGGAAAUACAUGGCAGAUCCAAAGUAGCUGUCUUAAAAGAAUGUAAUUUAUUAUGAAUAAUUGCAAAUAUAUUGUACAGUGUAAUUAACUAUUACAAGGCCAGCAUGAUAAGAAUUUUAUAGAUUAUGGGCAUAUCAUUUUAGUACCUACUGUAGCACUCGGUUCACAUUAUCUUUUAGCAAAUGACACUUUUUGGCCACCUGUUGUACUUGCUCUAUGUGGGUAAUACUUAUUGUCUCAUUCGACGUACGCAGAGCCAGAUGGAGAAACACGACUAAAGCCGGUUUUCCACUUCAAGCGUACCGUACCGAAACGUAUCAAAAACGUUUUUAAAUUUCAAAAUUUCGUGAAUUUUGAUUGGUUAGUACUUCCGUAGUACGCCAGAAAGUUGACUUGCGACGAACUUUUUAUUUUGAUACGCGAAAACACCUGGAAAUACGUGGAUUUAUAAUCCUCUUUUCAAUCUGCGCAUGCUCACCAGUACGUUUCGGUACGAUACGGGCGAAGUGGAAAACCGGCUUAACACUUAUUCAUACCCAAUUCACAACUUUCGUAAAGUUCCCAAGCAUGGUUACUAUUAAUCAUUUUACGGAAGUGCAGAAUAGAACGAAAGCGAUCAUGCAUUAGAAUUACAGUAUAAUCAUAAAUCGUAAACUUCUAACGCUUAGUUAAUUUAUACUAUGCUUUCGGUAACUAAAACGAUGGUAAUUUGGCAUGUGUGUCAUUUGGCAUUGUGAAUUGGGUUGCCACGUUGUAAACAAGUAUUAGCCGAUUUUGCCAACUAUUACCUCAGAUACUUGAUACCUUAGGCUUGAUCCUAAGUCUAUUACUGACCCAAAUAACUAAUCCUAAUUUUUUAUCUAAUCUAAUCUCCAACCUAUAAUCCAUAACAUAAUCGCAAUCAUUACUCUAUCAAAUCUUAUCCUGUCUUCAAUUCUAACUUUAUCCCAAGCCUCAUCCUAAAUGGUACAUGUGCAGUAAUACGGAGCAGGUCUCCAAUCUGCACUGCUAGUUGGUAUAAAAAACUACGCGCUCUUUAUUAGGGAUGACACAGUGGGUUAAAGUGGGUGACAUUCAUACUUAUUGGGUCGGUUCAACCAUUCGUGAGUGUAGCAUUACACAAGUAUUGCCCAAUAGAGCAAGCAAAACAGAUGUCAUAGAUAAUCGAGUGUGGAGCGAUUUUUUGAAAAAGAAACUAAAGCUCCUAUUCCACCAAGUCACCUUUCGCUUGAGUCGACUUUUUGUUUCCUUUGAAUGGACUGUCAAGUCAGCAACAGACAUAGGAUGUAAAAUUCCAGGAAAAUGCCAAGGAAGGAAAAGUGCUUUGAUGCAUAAUAAUAAUGCAAAUUGAAUGUUUUGGUGUAGCUAUAAAUGCCUACUGAAAUUCAUAUUUUGAGGGGUUUUUUAUUAAGAAUCGCUUGACUUUAAAUUAAGAAAAAAGGGAAUUGUUGAAAAAUGAAAAAUUGAAGCUUAACCAGGAAUCCAGGAUAUCAUAUCUAUAUGUUUCAUCGGAUGAUAAGACUUAAGAGUAUUAAAAUUGGAGAUCAAAAAAUAGUAUUAUGUUCGUACGCGUCUACUGGCGUGCUCGCACUAUUAUGGUGAGCGAGACAAAACUCAGAGAGAAGCAUGGAGCAAGGUUAGGUAGCUUGAGGACGGAGAGAAAUGGCUACUGCAAGCUACUACAUGUAUUUAAUAGUAAAAACAAGAAUUUAUUUUGGUUGUCAUGCUUUCUUGAGAAAAGACAAGUUAGGACGAACAUUUCCUAUUAUCCGAGUGUUAGACUAACUUUGCAAGACGAAAGAGGCUUUUUAGCGGAAAUUGGAUUUGUGUUAUGAAAAGUUGAUCGCUAAACCAAGUUCGUAUUUAGCUUUACCAAACAACCUGGUUAAACUUCACUUUUUCUUUGGCAAUACGAUUCAAAUUUGUCGGUAAAGAUCAGCGAGCUUUCAUCACAUAACUGCAUGGAACGAUAACUUAGUUAUUUGCCGGAAUGAAAAGUGAAGUCAGAGAUGGCUGCUAUUGAUCGUUGGUUUUUAUAUUCUCUUGCGGGACUUUCUAUGAAGUAAAUGGAACUUUCUAUGAAGUAAAUGGAACACUAAGCUCUAAUGUCAACAUUCUUUGAUUCACUUUUAUCAGCUAAGCCUAAGAUAUUAUUCCGGUUAGAUAUUGAGUUCACUGGCACAAAUAAAUGUAACUUGAGGAAUUAUUUAAUGAAUUGACAAUGAAAUAACAAGUUUGAAAACUUCAUACGCGUUUGUUCUUUG